UAACUAGGAUUAGAUACCCUAUUAUUAAAAAAUUAAAGAAAUAAUACUAAAAGAGUAAGUAAAAUUUUAUUGAAACUUAAAUAACUUGGCGGUAUUUUAGUUCAUUCAGAGGAAUCUGUUUAUUAAUUGAUAAUCCACGAAUAAAUUUACUUAAUUUAUUAUUUUGUAUAUCGUUGUUUAAAAAAUAUUUUUUAAUAAUUAAUAAUAUUUUAAAUUUUAAAUAAAAAAUUAAAUCAGAUCAAGAUGCAGAUUAUAAUUAAGAAUAUAAUGGAUUACAAUAAAUUUAUUUAUUAUGAAUUUUAAGUAGAAUAAUUUAAUUGAAAGUGGAUUUGAAUGUAAUUUUAUUUAAAUUAAUAAGAUGAUUUAUAAUUAAAAUAUGUACAUAUGCC
rnacentral:rRNA from 1 species